GUAUGAAUCAUUUGGGGAUUAUGGUAAAAUGCAGAUUCUGAUUCAGCAGGUUUGGGCCCUGAGAUGCUCAUUUCCAACAGGUUUCCAGGUGAUGUCAAU
rnacentral:pre_miRNA from 1 species